rnacentral:tRNA from 1 species
CCGGCCCCGCCCUCGCUCCGCCUGCGCAGGCGCAAUUUCCCGCAAACCCGGAAGCGGAGGGAGGGGCGCAGCCCUUGGUUUUUCUGUCACGACUGGGUAUUUUAGACGCCCCUCACGCCCCCGAUCCGCCACAUCCAAGGUUCAGGGGUCGUCAAUUACGUUAAGAUCCCCUUCAUCCACUCGUCCGCCCUCGGAGGAGAAUCCAGACUCCACUGUAGGACUUUACAAAAGGGGGCUCCGGAGGUGGGGUGACCCUCCACAACUGGUCCAAUCUGAGGGAAGAUACAGGCCUUCCCAUCCGAGGCUGACCAGACAUUGUCCUGUCCAGCGAGGUGCUGUGAUGUUGUGGAGGCCACUCCCUGUGGUUGAGUCCCAUUUUCAAGCGGGGACUGAGUUGUGAGCUAUCGGCAGCCAAACUCCUGGCUGUGGAGGAGUUUGUGUCUGAAUCCUGAGAGGCAGACUGAGGAAGUUUGUUCUAUGUAGUAACCUCUAUGGGGUCUCUAAUGAGUGCGAGGACCAUUGACCCAUAAGAGGUUAAAAGGAAGAAUUUCGCAGACCAUUUUGGGGGUAAUCUGCUGUGUUUUAAGUGGGUGGAUCUCAUUAUUACUGCCCAAGCUUUACUGUCAUGUGGGUUCUGCCGGAUACAGAUGACAUCUUAGAAAUGUUUCCAAGAUGGAAGAUAUUAGAGUCUCCGUGGAAAACGUGGAUUGUUGGAGACAUCACUCUUGCAUUAGGAUGUUAUGGCUGUGCCUGACUUUAGGGUGGGGUCUCCAAGAAGGAGGGCUUUCCUGAUGGCUCGGACAGUAAAGAGUCUGCCUGCAGUGCGGGAGACCCAGGUUUGAUCCCUGGGUCAGGAAGAUCCCCUGGAGGACAGCAUGGCAACCCACUCCAGGAUUCUUGCCUGGAGAAUCUCCAUGGGCAGAGGAGCCUGGCAGACUCCAGUCUUUGGGGUCACAAAGAGUCCAACAUGACUGAGCGACUAACACACACAGUCCAAGAAGGAAUAUACUGGAUCCUGGGUUGGUGAGUGUCCUCCUGCCAGAACAAAAGCUAUUGACAUUUGGGACGUGCUGUGGGAUCC